rnacentral:rRNA from 1 species
CGAAAGCCUGACGGAGCAAUACCGCGUGAGGGAAGACUGCCUAUGGGUUGUAAACCCCUUUUCUCAGGGAAGAAUAACUGACGGUACCUGAGGAAUAAGCAUCGGCUAACUCCGUGCCAGCAGCCGCGGUAAUACGGAGGAUGCAAGUGUUAUCCGGAAUCACUGGGCGUAAAGCGUCUGUAGGUGGUUUAAUAAGUCAACUGUUAAAUCUUGAGGCUCAACUUCAAAAUCGCAGUCGAAACUAUUAGACUAGAGUAUAGUAGGGGUAAAGUGAAUUUCCAGUGGAGCGGUGAAAUGCGUAUAGAUUGGAAAGAACACCGAUGGCGAAGGCACUUUACUGGGCUAUUACUAACACUCAGAGACGAAAGCUAGGGUAGCA